rnacentral:rRNA from 1 species
UCUAAUGUUUCUUAUUGUGACUUCUGAGUAAAACAAACAAAUAAAUCAAAACUUUCAACAACGGAUCUCUUGGUUCUGGCAUCGAUGAAGAACGCAGCAAAAUGCGAUAAGUAAUGUGAAUUGCAGAAUUCAGUGAAUCAUCGAAUCUUUGAACGCACAUUGCGCCCGCUGGUAUUCCGGCGGGCAUGCCUGUUCGAGCGUCAUUUCAACCCUCAAGCCCCCGGGUUUGGUGUUGGGGAUCGGCUCUGCCUUACGGCGGUGCCGCCCCCGAAAUACAUUGGCGGUCUCGCUGCAGCCUCCAUUGCGUAGUAGCUAACACCUCGCAACUGGAACGCGGCGCGCCAUGCCGUAAAACCCCAACUUCUGAAUGUUGACCUCGGAUCAGGUAGGAAUACCCGCUGAACUUAAGCAUAUAAUAGCCGGAGAAAAUUCCCUCGUAAUGGGUGCCUUCCCGCGUUCCUACGAAACCUCCCGGCGCCUUGGAGAGCCUU